ensembl:lncRNA
GGGGGGGGGGACGGUGGCUAGAGAAGGUGGGCCUGAAGCUCAGGCUUAAGCUCUGUGGGCCCAGGGAAAUUCGAAACUGGCCCCUGAGGGCAAGGAGAGGCCGAAGGAAGAGGAAGUUCACUCCACAGGGGUAGGGGGCAAUUUUAAAAAGCAAGGGAAUUUAGGAGGGUUGGUCUGGGCGGCCACCAGACGACUACACCUGGCCCCUGCCUGCCAGAAUCUUCGGCCUCAAGGGGGUCGAGUCACGCCUGCGCUCCACGUGGUGUCAGCAACAUUACGGUGUCUAGGCUGCAUCCUCGAAAGGGCCCGUAGUGCAGGUAGAGUGGGCCGAGGGCACACCCAGGACGGGUGGGGGGUCGGGGGUGAGCCGCCUGCCCUUGCCCGGCCAGCUGUCGUCCGCCGGCUGUCUUCGCCCUCUCAGUGACUUCGAACAGCAAGCUGGGACCAGAGGGUAAGCUCUCUGCGGGGCUGAGAAGAGGUGUGUGGCGGACCCUGAAGAUUGCACUCCGUAUCCCUCUAUUCCCGUUUGCUUUUUUACUCUGGCUGGAGGCAUCUACCCAGUGUUUAACGCCUGGGGUCGCCGGAAGCCGCCGCGUAGCAUCUCCCGGGAGGAGAACAGAAGAAAAAGAUGAGAAGCUGAUCCCACAGUAUUGUUUGAGCUCUUGAAUCCUGCUGUACCCGAACCCGAGUUUUACCCCCGGACUCUUAAAAGAUAAGUGAAACAACGAAUUCACUGUUCGCUGAUUGCUGUUGCAGUGGGAAGAGACGUGGCGAAUACCACCUCCACAACGAGCAGGCAAGAGCCAGAUGCCAGCUAUAUUUAAACAUUUGAGACAGUUCGAAGCUUAAAAGGAAUAGAAAAUCCCAGGACUGAAGACUCUGAGCACACCUCGUGGACAAUCACUCUGAACCAAGGGAGAGUGUGGACUGCCACGCGGCAGUCGGCAACAUGAAUCCGGAGGCAGCCCUGGGCCAGGUGGGGAAGGAGGGGCAUGUACUUGACUGACAGCCAGGAAUGGCAGUGGCGUAAAUCAAGGCCCCAGGACUGGUACCAGUGUUUUUCCUUGGAGGGGGAAGUGCAGCGCCUGAUUGAUGAGAAGGGCUCAGCUUCAGUCCGAGGGACCCUGAUUGUUCAGCAGUGUUUCGAUUUAUGCGCCAGAAGUUGUGACGGCUCUGGAAUUGCUGCCCGUUCCACUGCCUCCGCCUGCCCUCCACAGGCGCAAGGCAAACAUCCGAGCUCUCCGAUUAGACAGCUGGAUGCCAGAGGGGGCAGCGGAAGAUUCUCAGCCAGGUGUGCAAGCUGGCAGCCUCUUCCCUCAGACCCUGCAAGAGUCCUUCUCUGGCUUGUUAAUGGGAGACGUGGAUGGAAGAGAGAGCUGGCUUGUGUCUUCUCAAGACCUGAUCACACCGCUUUCCUCUGUUGUGGAAUAUCUGAACAUCCAGUGACUACCACAUGGCCAGCUGGCAGGGAAGCUCAGUUUUCCUCUGGCUCUCCUGGGACUCUGAUUUGUAGACUGGGCUGAGAUCAGAUAGCCCUUGGGAUCCAGGUGGGCAGGGCCUGGCUCCCUGGGCUGCUGGCAGGUGCCAUCUGGCUGUCCUGGGGUUGCCUAGGGAAGUAGUUCCCACCUUGAUAGUGUCUGAGGGAAGAGAGGGCGGAGGGCUGGGCAGUUGUCAGGCUGGGAGUUGGUGGGGAUGGGAGCAGGAGCAGAGUGUGCCAGGGAGGGCGUGGCCAGCUGCUCUCAGGGCUCCCGGCGCCUCUGCCGAGGGGCUGUGUCCAGACAGCCUCUGUCUGUCCCUUCCUCCUCUUCCGCCAUAAUCCCCAUUGUGCAUCUCCCUGGCCUGAGACUCCCACAGGUGAUUCAGGGAUGUGGUGUUGAACCAAGUCUAGAUUGGCUGUGUGCAUGGUAAUGGGUGUCAUUCAAGGAUGAAAAGCAGCUUGUCUUAGUCUGAGUGAGCCACCGUAACAGAAUACUGUAGACUGGGCACUUUCAACAAACGCUGAUUUCUUACAGUUCUGUGGUCUGGAAGUCUAAGAUUCAGGUGUCGGCCAAUUUGAUUCUUGGUGAGGACUCUUCUUGGCUUGUGGAUGGCCACCUUCUCCUUGUGUGUUCAUGUGACUAAGAUAGAGAGAGAGCUCUCUCUUCUUAUAAGGUUAUUGAUCCCAUCAUGGGGCCCUCCUUCAUGACCUCAUCUAAUCCUGAUCUCCAGCAGCCUCCGCUCCUAAUAUUAUAACAUUGGGAGUUAGGGCUUUAACAUACGAAUUUUAUGGAGGGGGCACAUUUAGUCCCUAACCCAGAUCCUUAACUCAGCCCUGCCUCGUGUGCAAGGAGCUGUCAGUCUUGCUGGGAGCUUUUAUGUGUUAAUGCGUAUGAGGGAAGCUUCCUAAAAUAGGCACCCAGGGGUUGUGGGCCCUGCAGAGAACAUUUGAUCCAAGCUUGAGACCUCAGGCUGUCAGAAACCAGAGGCCAAGGUCCAGGAGGGAGGCAGGAAUCCAGGGGGCCCACCAGGGAGGCUGGCCUCCAA